CCUACGGGCGACUGCAGUGGGGAAUAUUGCGCAAUGGGCGAAAGCCUGACGCAGCGACGCCGCGUGAGGGAUGAAGGUCUUCGGAUCGUAAACCUCUGUCAGCAGGGAAGAACGGUCACUGUGCUAAUCAGCAGUGAAUUGACGGUACCUGCAAAGGCAGCACCGGCUAACUCCGUGCCAGCAGCCGCGGUAAUACGGAGGGUGCGAGCGUUAAUCGGAAUUACUGGGCGUAAAGCGCUCGUAGGCGGUAUGUCAAGUCAAGGGUGAAAUCCCCGCGCGCAACGUGGGAACUGCCUUUGAAACUGGCAAACUGGAGUGUGUGAGAGGAUAGUGGAAUUCCAGGUGUAGGAGUGAAAUCCGUAGAUAUCUGGAGGAACAUCAGUGGCGAAGGCGACUAUCUGGAACAUAACUGACGCUGAGGAGCGAAAGCGUGGGUAGCAAACAGGAUUAGAUACCCUAGUAGUC
rnacentral:rRNA from 1 species